AAGGCUUCAAAGUGAAACGCUGUCCUGGCCAACUGUCAACCUCGGGCUGGUGAACACAUCAUCAGGUUCACAUGAAGGAAUUUUACCUGUAUCUCAUUGGCUCAAGGAGGGAUGAUUCUGUCUGCUGACUCCUGGACUUGAAAGCAGAUGGUGGAGGAGCCCACGGCUUCUGGAACAGCACAGGUGGAGCGAACCCCCCACAUUGUAUGAGCUUUUGGCCCUUCAAAACCUGGAUCCACUCCUGGAAAUGAGCUAUAGUUUUCCUUUGGCUUCAUCUCUGGGAAACUUCAGCACAAUCGAGGGAGUAGGGGAAGGUGAUUGGAACCCACCAUAAAUACCUUGUGACCAGGAAGGGUGCAGCAAGAUCAGCAUCUGCAUCCAGGCCGUCAUCCUCAUCAACCUUGCCAUCACCGUCAGCUCCGCCGGCAGCCUCAGCAUCGGCGUCAUUACUUCCACUCGCACCUCCAAUCCUCCCCCUCCUCCUCUUCUACUUCAUUAUCAUCCGUUUCAUGGCAUUUCUGCUCCGUGCUCUCAUUCAUGCUACCACCUUUCCUGAGAAAAUAGAAAAGGAGCAUGUGCUGAGGUCUUCAUUCUUGAGUCAGAUAAAGAGGGACACAGACUGAUUGAUUUUACCAUGAUUCACUGUUCAUACCACACUACUUUCAGCCUGGCACAAAGAAGACUGGAUGUGUCCAAGGAACCAGGGUUCAGGGCCCCCUGACCAGAGGUCAAAUCUAGGCUGUAUCACUAAGGGUAGGUGCAAUUGGGGAAAUACCUUCAUCUGUAAAAGGAGAGGAAAAUAGGGCGUACCUCACAGUGAGCAAAUGGAGAUCAAGAGCCACUUACUUGCAACAUCGAAGGCACCAACCAGACCUCUGGAAUCAAAUGGAGAUCAAGAGCCACUUACUUGCAACAUCGAAGGCACCAACCAGACCUCUGGAAUCAGCUCCGUGUCCCCACCUGACCCCCUCCAAAGGACGGAAUUUACAUAACAGAAUAAGAAAACAAAGAAUAAAACUCACAAAAGGGAAGGGGGAGCAAGUAUGUAAACCAUUAAGAGCCAGUUUAGUUCUAACAGCUAAUAUUUGGCUCUGGGUUACACAGGAAGUUUUCCCCCAAAGAAGUACAUAAUUCUUCAAUAGAAGUGAGUUUACCUUGACCUCAAAUUCUAAAAGAUGUUUUUCUUGUGAAAUUUUACGUGUGAUUUUCUGAGGCCAGUUUCCAAAAAAAAAAAAUACUGAAGGGUUUCCAUGUGACUGUCGUUUAUAUAGACCCUGGAUCUACUGGGAGCCUAAAUAUUAAAAUCCAACAGAGUCAAGGUGAUUCUUCAGGGAAUUACUCAGCUGUAGUUCAAGAAUGGGGCCUGGGGGCUUCCCUGGUGGCACAGUGGUUGAGAAUCUGCCUGCCAAUGCAGGGGACACGGGUUCGAGCCCUGGUCUGGG